rnacentral:SRP_RNA from 1 species
CGUCAGGCCAGGAAUAUAGCAGCCA